GUCUCUCUAUCUCUCAAUAAUAAAUAAACGUUAAAAAAAAUUUUUUUUUAAACUGGGCAAAAGAUCUGAAACAGACACUUCAUCAGAUAAGAUAUGUAAAUGGCAAGGAAGUCUUUGAUGAGACUCAACACCAUAUGACCUUAGGGAAAUGCAAAUUAAAGCAACAAUGAGAUAGCACUAUAUGCCUAUUAGAAAGGCUAAAAUCCAAAUUACAACACCAAAUGCCAGUGAGGACGGGGAGCAAAAAGAAUGCCUAUUCAUUGCGAGAGGAUAGCCAAAUGGUUGAUCUACUUUGGAAGAUCAUUCGGAUAUUCUUACACAGAUCAACAUAGUCUUCUUGCCGCACGAACCAGUUACCACACUUAUGGAUGUUUGCUCAAAUGAGUGGAAAAUUUAUGCCCAUGCAAAACCCUGCACGUGAAUAGUUGGAGCUGCUUUAUUCAUAAUUGCCCCAAACCAGACGCAAACGUGGUAUCAGUCAAUAAGUUAAAUGGAUAAAUGAACUGUGAUACACCCAUACAAUGGGAGAUUAUUCAGCGAUAAAAAGAAGUGAGCUAUUAAGUCAUGCAAACACAUGGGGGGAGCCUUAACUGCACAUUGCUGUGUGAAAGUAGCCAGUCUCAAAGGGCUACAUACUGUAUGAUUCUAACCAUACGACAUUAUGGGAAAAGUAAAAUCAUAGAGGCAGUAAAAAAAUAGCUGCCCGAAGUCUGAGGAAUAACAGGAAGGAUGGGUGGGUGAAACAUAGGUGGUGAAGCUCUUUUGCAUGAUACCAUAAUGGUAGACAAUGACAUUAUGCAUUGGUCAAAGGCCAUAGGACCGUAUGUGGUGUUUAUAUGUUUAGUCUUUGUCUCCAGUUCCUGGACCAGAGCUUCAGAAACCCUUCAAGUUUCAGGAGUGAUAACGUGCGUCUUUGUUAUGCUAAUGAGGUAGCUAAUGGCCGGAUGUGAAAGGAGCCCUAAGAUAGCUUCGUGAUGGAGGCUGGUUGCCAGAAAGACCAAGCUUGUGAUUAGAGAGUUGGUACUUUCAGCCUUGGUUCCCAGAGUUUAAGGAGGAGACAACAUUGGAGACUGAGUUCGUGCAUAGGUUCCCAGGUAGAAGAAACAUGUCCUAAGCUCCUGACUGAGAAUCUGCAUGGAUUGGACUUCCCACCAGAAAGUCUUGAAGCUACGGAACAAUGGAGCCAUGCCUUCAAAAUUCUAAGGGAAAGUGAUUUCUAACCGACAACUGUAUACUGAACCGAUCAAGAUCAUUCAAGUGUGAUAGAACGAAGACUUUUUCUACAUACUACAAAGAAUCAAUCAUAAAGUUUCUCUCUCAUGCUCUCUUUGACAGGAAGUAAGUGGCAAAUUAAAUGUGCACUUGCCGCACAAAAAUAAGAAGACCGCAAGUCAAAGGAGGUGAGAAGUUUCCCACAACACAGAGGCUUCAGCAUCAGUAAGAGGCAAACAUUGGUGAAGGAUGUUGUUGAAGGGGGACCCUGGGAUGACAGGUGGACAAAGGGCGAUUGCGGCCUCCUCGCAGAUAGAAUCCUCAGUGUGGAAACUGGAGCAGCUCUUCUCUCCAGCUUAUCUCUUAACUCAGGCUAAUGGACGGCAAAACCACCCUGCAGGCAAUAGUGAGUGAUGUGACAAGACCUCCAGCUGGACCAGAUGGCCCAGACCAGUUUGAACCAAACCCCUGACUUGCACCUGCACAGAGGGGCCAUGGAGUAACCUCUGGAAUGAGCAACAAUCACCUUUGCCUCAUUAUAAUACUAAGAUCUCCAUUCAAGGAGGGAACAGCAGCCUCAUUUACAUAACAUGUAUGCGUAGGCAUGUUCCUUUCAGGCCCAUGCAUGACCUUAUGCCCACCUCUGCAUAUGAUGACAAGACUUCCUCAUCUAAACAUUCAUCUUAACCCUAAACAAAAGAAACCCAAUCACCCUUGCUUGAGGAGUCGGGGCUUUGGAAGUUAUUCCUUGCCAUCUCCUGAUUUGCUGCAAAUAAAGUUUCCUUUGUGUGACAA